CCCUUUUUUUUUUCUCUUGGAACCCUAGCACCGCCAUGGAGGCGGUGGACCCGCGACUGCGUCACCUUGCCAUUUGUGGCAAAUUUCAGACGUACCAUGCUUUAGCAGGUCUGGUAUGGCCGUGUUGAUAUGCAUUUAAUGUUUUGCAUCUUUGCUAUCAAAUAUUGUCCAAACAUGGUAUAUUUCAUCUUUUUUGCUUUGUUUUUAGUUGAUUCAACGGUAUACUCUGUGAAUCUUUAAUUACUUUUGGUUGUUUGUGAUUUUGAAUCUCGGGUUGCCAUUAGUUCAUGAGGAACCUAGAAGAUCGACCUUUUGAGGGUGAGAUCUGACCCUUCAUUCGCUUUUUGCAUCUAAUCCUAACCCUACAACAUAGAUGUGAGGAGGAAACCCAUAAGAAGGGGAGUUAUCCCACAUCGGCUAAAGGAGGGUUUUGGGUUUUUCUAUUUAAGGGACCCUAUUUCUUUGUUGUAGAACAAGUUUGAGCAUACUAAAAAAUAUAUACUGUGAAGACUCGAAAUAUUUAAGGAUUUUUUCAAAAAUUAUUUGAAGUCUUUAGAAUUUUCUGAGUCGAGUAAAGAAUUUUUAAGAAAAAAAGAAAGGGGAAUUUGUUCUCUUUGUUUUUGCGGGGUUUCUGUAGUUGAGUUUGGGUUUGGAGGAGCAAAUCUCCAAGUUUAAAUCUCGAUACAAAGCUGCACUUGCAAAAGGUAGGCAGAGAGAUGGAUCAGACCCGUAGGUGUUCUAUCAGCAGAUUCUCAGGAGCACUCCACUUACUUGAGUCGUAUAGCCUAUUUGGCCCAAUACCUUCUCUUGAUCGAGUCCGUGAGAAAUAAAUGGGAAAGGGAAGCUAUUAUGUUUGAAGGCCCAGCCAAUGGGUGAAAAUGGCACUGAUGGGCUUGGGUAGGCCCAUCAAUUUGAAAGAAAUAUAUUCCUCCCUCUCUUUACUUUAUUUGUAUAUGUAAAUGUUGUAUAUCAAACAUGUGAAACCCCUAUGCAUGUGUAGACUUAGGAAAUCAAAUGCAUAGCAUUUUAGGAAGUCGCUCAAAACUUUUUUCUAACUCGCUCAAUUUGGAUUUUUUUUUUCGCACAACUGAAAAAAAAUUGGCAUCUAAAUCUGAUUUUGUUAAAGUUUAAUAAUCAAACACAUAUUUUGGAUGGAGUAGAUUAUGCCUUUCUCAAAAUGGUUAAAUUCGCGAGUUUUUGGACUUUGGCAACGAAAAAAAUCUGGGGAAGAACUCUUUUUUAAAAGAAGGUAAAAUAAUUUUGGGCUUGCAGCCCAUUAGCUUGAAUUAUUUGUGAAUCUUGUAUCAAAAAAAAUAUAGAAAUGAAUUGGUUUGGAAAGUGGAAGAGAUGCGGUUUAUCUUCGAUGGACAAAAUGGGCUUUGAGAUUUUUGACACUAAGCACAAUCUGAAAAAUGACUUGAAAAACUGGGAAUUUGAAGAUUGGUAAAACUGGAGGAAACGGACCAUUUUUGAACUCAAACGUUUUGGGCCCAAAGAUUUAUUGGACUAAAAAUAUUUUGGACUAACUAUGAGGAUAAAGGGAUUUGGACUUAGAAUAUUAUUGACCUAUGGCUUCAAUAAAUAAAAAUCAACCAAACUGCUUUUGUUUCAUAAAACUUAUAUUUAUAAAAUACAAAACGGAGGAUAUACUCCAUAUUUUC